GACCCCCAAAGGACCCCGAGAACCUGUGAAAGUCUUUGCCACAACAGUGAGCUUGACUACACGCGAGGCUGCAGGACCAGUCUCUGUUCAAACGAACAUAACUUUCUCGAGUGAUCGUCUAAAGUUGGGCAAAUCUUUUAAAAACUUACUCGACAUAUUUGUCGUUUUACUUCCUUCCCAUUUCUUUUUUGACCGUGCAGUAUUACUACCUAAAUUUUUCGGCAAAAACUUCGGUUGUCAAAAACCACUUCGCAUAUUUUAAGAGCUUAACAGCAUGCCUCCAAAGAAGCCUGGGUUAGUAGUUGAAUUUACUGCUGAGAAGUAUGGCAACAUCCCAGAUGCUCCACCAUUGAGGAAUGGGCAUGUUUUACACAUUUUCUUCCAGCAAAAGCGUAAAAUUACUCACACCAUUCAGCAAAUAUCCAAGAUCUUAGGAUCAAAUGUUGUUGUGAAACCAUGGCAGAUUAAUUAUUUGCUGAAAAAAACAAUAAGAAAAUACCAACAUUUCACACGUGAAAGUGACAAGCAGCAUUUUCAGGAUGUGUGUGACCAAGUAUUUACUUUGCACACCUUAGCUCAGCCCUCUCCUCAUAAGGCCCCAUCAGUUUCAGAUGAAUCUCAAUUGUCUCAUCCAUCUACGUCUCAGUUUGAGGUCUCAUCUCCAGCCAUAAUGACUUUAUCACCUCUAACUGUUUCGGAGCUCACUGCUGGGGAAGAAUCAUGCACCAGCUCCACUCAGUCACCUGCUGUAUCUGUGCGAACAUCACCGAGAAUCGCCUUAACUCCCGAGUUCCAAAGAAUCAAAAGGAGACUUUCAUUUGUAAUGAUGACCAAAUCUGACAUGAAAAACAAAUAUCGUGAUUCUGUGAAGUCUUUGCGAGAGCAAUUAAAAUCAAGCCAUGUGCAAAAAGUGAAAUGCCUCAACCAGGACAUAAAACGUAAAAAAGAGAUAAUUGCCAAGAAGAAUGACAUGAUAUGUCUGUUGAGAAAAGAGAUCAAAAGGGGACCCGGCAUGGAACAAUUAGAUUUGUUGAGGAAACGGUUGUCUUAUGAGAAGAAAAAGAACUUGCAGUUAAAGAAAUAUGGUAAAUGCAAAAAGGUUGCUGAAACUUCUGCUUCUGCGGAAAGUGAUGAUUCCCGGGGUCUCAUUGCAGCGGAAACGGUUAAUGUACAGAGUCAACGAAUCAGGGAGUUAGAAAAUGAGAAUCUUGUUCUGCAGGAAAAAGUGGAGGCGUUGACAAAUAGACAGCGUCAAGUCUUUGUAAGAGAAGGUAAAAUCUAUCCAUUUGAUCUUAGAAUGGUUGUUUAUGAUCAUAUUUUGAAUAAUGUACCCACCAGAAGUAUCCCCAUUCUGAUUCAGAAAUGGGCACAAAGGGCCGGUUUUACAUUUGAUACUGUACCUCAUCGGGGAACUGUGGAACAAAUGGUUAGAGAAUUGGGUGUUGUCUCUGAUUUUCAGGUUGCUGAGUUUUUGUUGAGCAACCAAGAGCUCACGUUGGGUUUUGAUGCUACGACCCAGGAAGGGGUUCAUGUAAAUGAAAUCCACUUCACUAGUGCCUGUGAUUGUUUAAUUAUGUCCCUUGACCUCCUGCCUGGUGGCACUGCUGAAGAUUACCAGCUCCAUAUUCAGGAGUCACUAAAUAGAGUGGCAGAUGUUUACACUAAAAUAUAUGAUUGUAAUUUUGAAAAUAUCAGGAAAACUAUGAUUGCCAAUAUAAAAAAUACACUGACUGAUCGUAGUGCGGUUAAUCACGCCACUAUUUCUCAGUUAGAGGAGGCAUGGGGGGUGUCAUUUAAUGAACUGAACUGUCAUCUGCACCCGUUAGAAACCAUAGCCAGAUCGUGCAGGUCAACUCUGAAGGAUGCUGAGACAGUCAGAGGCAGUCUGUCAGGAAACGACUGCAUUGCUGGAAAUAUUGUUCUUGCUGUCAACAAAUUUAGGUACAAAGACGGUAAAGGUGACCCUAGGGGGUUUGUUUCAUUUUUAGAAAAGUCUGGAUUACCUAAAGGUCUUCUACCAAGGUACAGGGGGAACAGGUUGCAUGUUUUGUUUGUCAUCUGUGAGCAGCUGAUGUACCACUACGAUUUAUUCUUAAACUUCUUCUCCACAGGAACUGUUUCCUGUAGUGAUUUGCAGUCUGCCUUAUUGUCUGACUUUGGUUCAGCCACUGGCAAGGUAGAAAUGCAAGUGCUAGGUUUAAUUGGCAUAUUUUUGUCUGGACCUUGGAUGUCAAAAUUUUAUACUGCUGCUGCUACUCAGACUGUGAGCCACGUUGAUGGGAUUGAGACUGUGAGGAAUGUCAUUGAAACCAUCAAGACUUAUGUGGAGGUUCCUUUGGAAACAUUAGUCUUGAAAAAGGACGUCUUUGGUGGGGAACUGCAGGCUUCGUCAGUGCAGAAGCUCCAAAUGGAGCCAGCUGAUAGGUCUCUCUUUGCCACCAUGAUGAGUGCAUGUCUGGCACAGAUUGUUGUAGCACUGGAAAGGCAGUACAGUCGAUAUUUCAAGCUGGAUAUCAAUGAAGUUCUCCGGAAAGAAACUGAGUCAGCCCGUUGCCACAACAUUGACGCUGAGGCAGUGAUGGGUAUGUUCUCUGCAGCCAAAAGCCGUGCUCCGAAUGCAACACUUUGUUUUAUUUCGUCGAAGAUAAGGGCUAAGAAGAACAGAACUUGCGACUAUCUUGACAACCUUGAUGCUAAGAAAAAGAAUAAGCUAUUGAAUGUAUCCAUUUCUCUCGCACGACAACAGCGCUGUGUCGUUCGAAAGAAAUGCUUUGAAAUCAGGGACGAAAUUAUCCGCAGAAUUGCUGUGAAGACCCAAAAAAGGGCUUCUUCUGAUAAAAACAAGCUGAAGACAGCCCCAAAAAAUUCCAAAUUGGACCUUUCCAAAGACUUUCCCCAUAUUCAAUAUGUCAGCCAACUCCAGCGAUGGAGGAGCGGCACAGGAAGCGAGCCCAAGUCUGUUUCACCAGGGCUAAGCACCGACGUCCAGGGGGUCUUGAACACCUCCCUCCCGGCCCUGCGCUCGGCCAUCCAGAGGCUGAAGUCAGCUCAAGAAAACUCGGACUUGAAUGAGAUCCGCAGGGCAGUCGCAGAGAUCUACCAGCUGGUGGAGGAGGCCUGGGUUUUACCAGCCGUUGGACGUCAGGUGGCUGAAGAAAUCUGCAAUAGGAUCCGGCUGGAUGGAGGCCUGGAGCUCCUGCUGCUGCAGCUCCAAAAGACGCCUGAGGUGGAGAUCAUCCAUGAGUCUGCAAAACUCCUGGAGCAGAUACUGACCUCAGAGAACAGGGACUAUGUUGCACGCCUGGGCCUGGGAGUCAUCCUCAACCUGGCUCGACAGCAAGAGGAUGCUCAGCUGGCUCGCAGUGUCUCCGGCAUCCUACAGCACAUGUUCAAACACACAGAGGAAACAUCUGUCCACCUCAUCUCCAACGGGGCCCUGGGUGCUCUCCUUUUUUGGUGUCGAGGCACAGAUCCCACUGUGCUGCGCCACUGUGCCGUAGCGCUGUCAAACUGUGCCAUGUACGGAGGCCACCGAUGUCAGCGGAUGAUGAUUGACAAGCAGGCGGCUGAGUGGCUCUUCCCUCUGGCUUUUUCUAAACAAGACGAGCUUAUCCGCUUCCGCGCCUGCCUGGCUGUGACCAUGCUGGCUGCAAACCGAGAAAUGGAGAGGGAGGUGGUGAAAUCUGGGACUUUGGAGCUGGUGGAACCUUUCAUUGCAUCUCUGGAUCUUGAUGACUUUGCCUGCAGUUUAUUGAACAACACCGAUUGCAUGCAGGGAAAGACUGCAUCUGACCUCCAGCACCUCUUGCCUUUACUGGAUGGCACAAGAGUGGAGGGAAAGUGCAUUGCAGCCUUUUACAUUUGUGUUGAGGCUAGUAUCAAGUCCCGUCACCACAACAUUAAGAUAUUUCAAGAGAUCGGAGCAGUUCAGAGCCUGAAAAGAAUCAUCAUGUACUGCACCAAUGAGACAGCCUGUUCACUUUCCAAGAAAGCGCUAAGCAUGAUGGGAGAAGAAGUACCCAAAAGAAUCUUCUCAUCCGUCUCCAACUGGACAACCUGUGAAGUGCGGGUGUGGUUGCAGCAGGUUGGCUUCAGUGCUUAUUGUGACCGUUUCCAGGAGCUUCAGGUGGAUGGAGAUCUCCUUCUGAACAUGACGGAUCAACACCUCAGCUCUGAUUUGGGCAUGACUGCAGGUCUCACCCGCGAGAGGUUUUUGCUAGAGUUACGAGUGCUGAAAUCAUAUGCAGACUACUCCGCAUGCGACCCAAACAACAUGGCUGGCUGGCUGGCUGAGGUGGACCCUCGUUUCCGUCAGUACACCUACGGCAUGGUCCAGGCAGGAGUCGAUCGAAACACCGUCCUGAACCUCAAUGAUCACUACCUUCAGUAUGACUGCCACAUAGAAAAUGAAGUCCACAGAGCAAAAAUACUGUCCGCCAGCGGCAAACCAUCCAAGCCAUGCGACACAGACGAGCAGCCGCCAGGGCCCGACGUGUUCAUCAGCUACUGCCGGACGACCGGCUCCCAGCUGGCCAGUCUUCUGAAGGUGCACCUUCAGGUCAGAGGAUACAGUGUCUUUAUAGACGUGGAAAACCUGGAGGCUGGCAAAUUUGAGGGCAAACUGGUUCAGAGUGUGCAGCAGGCGAGGAACUUCAUCCUGGUCUUGUCAGCCAACGCACUUGACAAAUACAUGGGAGACACUGGCAUGAAGGAUUGGAUGCAUAAGGAAAUAGUCACAGCCCUGGCUUGUAAGAAGAACAUUGUUCCUGUCGUGGAUAAUUUCAUGUGGCCUGAACCCACGUCAUUACCUGAAGACAUGAGACCUAUGCUCAACUUCAAUGGCAUCAAAUGGUCUCAUGAGUACCAGGAGGCCACGAUUGAUGAGAUCCUCCGCUUCCUGAAAGAGCCAAGACCAAACUGACCAUCCUGAUAAGUCCAAAGAGCAGGAGAAGAAAUAAGUCGACAGAAAAUGCAGCAGGAUAAAAUACCAUUUAUGAUGUCCCUUUCCACACAUUAUAGCCAAAAACUCAAAUGGUUUUCCUUACUGCUAAAAACGCAUGUGAAAUGAAAUAUGUUUGGAGCUCACAUAAAUGCCUUGUAAAUUAUCCCAGUUUAAAAUGUGAACACAUGGAAUUGAGAAAGGGAAUUCAAGUACUUGUACAAACUUUAUGCCUUCAAUGUUAUUGAAAUGAUACUGUUUUAAACGUAUAACCAGUUGCAGUAUGUACCUUUUGUAUCUCAGGAAAAAAGCAGUAAUAAAUCAGCAGGCACCCAGAGAAUCCACCAACCCUUCAUUUCCCUUCAAUGGUUAUUGUACAUGCCGCUUUUCUGUUAACUUGUAUGUCCUAAAUCAAUCAAAGCAGGUCUUAAUAUUACAGAAAGAACCCGCUACAUUUUUUUCUGGUUCAGUCAUACUUAAUAAAAGAAAAACUAAAAUA